UACGAAGGGGGCUAGCGUUGCUCGGAAUCACUGGGCGUAAAGGGUGCGUAGGCGGGUCUUUAAGUCAGGGGUGAAAUCCUGGAGCUCAACUCCAGAACUGCCUUUGAUACUGAAGAUCUUGAGUUCGGGGGAGGUGAGUGGAACUGCGAGUGUAGAGGUGAAAUUCGUAGAUAUUCGCAAGAACACCAGUGGCGAAGGCGGCUCACUGGCCCGGUACUGACGCUGAUGUGCGAAAGCGUGGGGAGCAAACAGG
rnacentral:rRNA from 1 species